rnacentral:rRNA from 1 species
ACAGCAGCCGCCGCGGUAAUACGGAGGACCCAAGCGUUAUCCGGAAUCAUUGGGUUUAAAGGGUCCGUAGGCGGUUUAGUAAGUCAGUGGUGAAAGCCCAUCGCUCAACGGUGGAACGGCCAUUGAUACUGCUGAACUUGAAUUAUUAGGAAGUAACUAGAAUAUGUAGUGCAGCGGUGAAAUGCUUAGAGAUUACAUGGAAUACCAAUUGCGAAGGCAGGUUACUACUAAUUGAUUGACGCUGAUGGACGAAAGCGUGGGGAGCGAACAGGAUUAGAUACCCGCGUAGUCCCUGUCUCUUAUAC